AUUGAACGCUGGCGGCAGGCCUAACACAUGCAAGUCGAGCGGAUGAAGGGAGCUUGCUCCUGGAUUCAGCGGCGGACGGGUGAGUAAUGCCUAGGAAUCUGCCUGGUAGUGGGGGAUAACGUCCGGAAACGGGCGCUAAUACCGCAUACGUCCUGAGGGAGAAAGUGGGGGAUCUUCGGACCUCACGCUAUCAGAUGAGCCUAGGUCGGAUUAGCUAGUUGGUGGGGUAAAGGCCUACCAAGGCGACGAUCCGUAACUGGUCUGAGAGGAUGAUCAGUCACACUGGAACUGGGACACGGUCCAGACUCCUACGGGAGGCAGCAGUGGGGAAUAUUGGACAAUGGGCGAAAGCCUGAUCCAGCCAUGCCGCGUGUGUGAAGAAGGUCUUCGGAUUGUAAAGCACUUUAAGUUGGGAGGAAGGGCAGUAAGCUAAUACCUUGCUGUUUUGACGUUACCAACAGAAUAAGCACCGGCUAACUUCGUG
rnacentral:rRNA from 1 species